AAUCCAAGCUACCUGGUCUACACAGUUGACUUGUGACUUCAGGACUUACUGGACUUACUGAAAAAGCAAAAGGCCUGGGGAGAAGUGGAAAACAUGAACUUGGAUCCAGCCAUAAAGCCUCUCAUUGAUAGCCUGGUAUUCUGUAUGUAUAUAGGCUUCAAGCCACCAAUGAUGAAGAACCUGCCCAUUGCCCAUAUGAGAUGUGGUCUGAAAGUUAGCCAGAGGCUUGUGUUUCAUACAUCCUACAGAAGACAUAUAAGGCCUCUGGGCAUUUCCAUAGCACCUCCUAAGGGAGUAGAAUUAUGAUGUAUAUCUUUAAGCUUUGGCAAGACAAAGAAUUCUCACAAUACCAAUAAAACAAGAACCAGUGCUCUCUGUUACCAUUUUA